AUGACGUUUGGCCGGCGCUUGAUGUCUUUCUUAGAUGCCUGCCCCAAUACAUUCAGAUGGCUUAACAGCAUCAUCCUGCGUAAUCUUCAAUUUGGUGAAGCAGACAUGCCAACCAUAUUGAACACAUGCGAGAAGCUGCAGGCUCUGACCCUGCACUCGUGUCAGGUGAGCCAGCUAGAUUCUGUACUGAAGAUGGAUGCACCUAGCUCCCAGCUAAUUGCACUAAAUUUUAUAAAAUGCUACUUUGAACAUGUUGAGUUGGUCUGUCUCCCUCAGUUGGCUAGUCUGGUCUAUGAUACCUGGUUGUCUGUUGACCCUCCAGUGCGAUUUGGCUAUGUCCCACGGCUCCAUUACAUAAGAGUUGCCUCCGCUCUAUUGUUUUGGCAGACACCAUUCACAUUGAGUGGGUGUUUAUCUAACGCCAGGAACCUUACAAUUCUUCAUUUGGAUUUCCAUGAUGAAAUGGUUUGGUUUCAACCUGAACAUCCUAAAAAGCUUGUUCCUGUAUUCAGUAAUUUAAAAGUUGUAUAUCUGUAUAAUAUUUUUGCUGACUGUGACCUUAAGUGGACUUUAUUAUUUCUUGAAGCCGCGCCUUCCCUCGAUAGCUUUUAUGUCAAGAUAUCACGUCAUAUGUGUGGACGAUACAAGCAUGCAUGUAUUGAUAAUGCUAAAAAGACUAACGUGCUGUGGGAACCAUCAGAUUUCAAGCAUUACAAUUUAAAUCUAUUCGACAUUAAAGGUUUUGAGAAGGAAGAGAAGCUGAUAAAUUAUGUAAAGUUUGUAAUGGAGCGAGCUGUGGCUUUGAGGAAAAUUCAUCUGCAUGAUAAGGAGAAUUGUAAACAGUGUGGCUGUAUAAAUAAGCAGGCUCCAUCACCAAUCAGUUCCAAGUUUCCAAAUAACGAGGGAGAGAAUAAUUUAAUACGAAGGCUGCUCGCCAAUGGAUCUUCA
rnacentral:rRNA from 1 species